rnacentral:rRNA from 1 species
UACGGGGGGAGCAAGCGUUGUUCGGAUUUACUGGGCGUAAAGGGCGCGUAGGCGGCCACCGCACGUCGAUUGUGAAAUCUCCGGGCUUAACCCGGAAAGGUCAACCGAUACUGCGGGGCUAGAGUGUAGAAGGGGCAACUGGAAUUCUCGGUGUAGCGGUGAAAUGCGUAGAUAUCGAGAGGAACACCUGCGGCGAAGGCGGGUUGCUGGGCUGACACUGACGCUGAUGCGCGAAAGCCAGGGGAGCGAACGGG